rnacentral:lncRNA from 1 species
AGUAUUUCAUUCUACACCCCUCCAGUCCUUUUAUCCCGCAUCUCUAAAUUUUAAUUAAAUAUCUAUUUUAUCCUUAAUUAAACACAAUUUUAAUCAUUUUAAAACACUUUUAAUCAUUUAAAAACAAAAAAAUCUUACUCAGAUUCUAAAACAGUUCAGAGUUUUAAACUUUAGGUUUUAUUAGGUUUUCGUGCCUUCUUUUGUUGCUAUUACAGAACCUCCCUCUUCCUCAUUUACUCCCUCUUCUUAUUUGUAAUUUGAUUUCUUCUUUGAUCUCUUUCUUUUCCAGCAUAGAACCUCUCUGUUCCUCUUUUGGGAUUUGAUUUUUUCUUCACUUUCUUUCGCAGGCGCAAUUUUCUCAGUCUCAUAUUUCAUUUUUUCUUCAUCUUUAGCAGGUACAAUAACAGAUUUGAAACGCGAACAGGUCGGAUACCAAAAACCGAUAUAGGUUUCAUCAGAUAUUAAAAAAUGAUACAGGCUUCAUCGGAUAUCGACAUCCGAUCGCGUUUCGAGAGACGAUACUUUUUUUUUCUAUUUUUUUUUUAUUUUAUAAAAAUGUUAUGUUUAAAUGUCUUGAGAUUUUAAUUUGAUUUUUGCGUACUUACUUUUUGCGUUUUUUAAAAAUAUUGUAUGCUUAAAUUUUAACAAAACAAAAAAGGCUUAAUACCUUAAUUGGUCCUCUUAUUUGUCAACUAAUCUCACUUUGGUCCUCAAGUUUGCAACAGUCUCAAUUUAGUCACAAUAUUUGAAAAUAUGAACACAUUAUAUCCCAUCCGUUAAGUGGUAGCAGACGGCGUUAAUUUGAGCUGACUUGUAUUUUUUUUUUAUGUUUUAAAAUUAUUAAAUCCAUGUGGCGGUGUUCCUUCUUCUUCCCUCAAUUAGUGAUCCUUCUUCUACCGUAAACCACCAUAGUCAUCAUCGUGCAUCUCUGAUUCAGACGAGUGAGUGGAAAACACAAUGAAAAAAAACACAAUAAAAAAUGGGAGCACCACCAAAUAUCAAUAACUAGGAGCCUUUAAGCAUCCAAUGUGACAUCCAUUACCACUGACCAACACCAAUUUUGUAACUUCC